CCGGGCGGAGGCUGGCGGCGGGGUAGGCCCGAGGGUCCGUGCCCCGGUGCCCCUCCCUGGAGUCCGGGGGAGCGGGAGAGCCGCCCCUUCCCCAUUUCUCCGCGCGAGUCACUCUGGCCGUCCCCGGCGCACCCCCGGUCGGUGCGGUGAGUGAGGCGGGGGUGACCGCGUGCCUGCAGCAUUGAGGGAGCCCUGCCCUGUGAAGGAUGCGGCAGGCGCGCUCUGACACGGGUCACCCCCAGAAACUCCCCAGCCCUUGGCCGUAAGGUAUCUGAGGGGGACGCUCCAUCUUGUCCCCAUCCCUGCUCGGUGCCGCCCAGCCCCGGGCUUUGCUCCCCGGGGCUGCCUCGGGCCACUCUUACUACUCCUGGAUCUGAGGGGUGCCAGCACCCUGACCCCAGGCGGUUUGCAGACAGACACCGCCUCCCCUGAGGUUUUGCUGCUUUUUACUAGUUAAUUACUUUUCUUUUAAGAAAAACGGCCCGCUGCGAUAAUCAUCUCUGAUCUCUAGAUAAUUUCCUACGUGCUCUAAGGGGCCGUUUCCUGCCUCUUCGUAGCCCUGUUCCCAGAUAACGGGGUCAAAGCCCGGCGUGGCCCAGGCGGGAGGGACGAUGGUGUGGCAGCCGCCGAAGAGGAAGGAAGCUCCGGAAAGGACUCAGCAGGGCCCGGGGGCAGCGCUUGGCACACGGGCUGGCAACGUGAAAUGAAGCAGCGCUUGAUAGAAAAAAAAAUCCAGUUCAAAUGAAAAAUAGGUUUGAGAUGUCUGUCUUGAAGCGCUUAACUGGACUGUUGUGCAGUGUUAUUGCAGCUUUGCUGUCUUUAUUUCAUGCUCUUUUCCAAAAGUUCAGUCGUUACUCAGUCAUUUUUUUGCUCUUUGUUCCUCAUCCUGCGUUGGCAGCCAGUGCCAGCUGAGGUGUCUGGAUUGGAACAUAUGGGCUCUGUCUCUGCAGGCAUUUAGCAGAGUUCAAAUCAUCUAAAAUGGAAGACUUCUCCAGUGUCGUGUUUUAGACAAAACCAUCCAGGAAAAGUCUCAUCAUCAAGAUGAAAGGAUCUUAAAGCAGUCCCUAAAUCCAUGGGCAGGUAUCAUUUUACCAGCUGCUGACAUCCAGCCAUCUCCUGGGUGGAAAACAACAGCUGUUAGUCAUGUACAGCAGAACAGUGACCUAGAGAUGAAUAAUUGCAUCUGAAAAGUCACAUUUGUGCAAAAAAAUUUCAUCCAUUACUAGGAAAUCUUACUUGGUAGCUAUAGCUCUGAUCCAUUCCUCCUGGUUUAAGUGUUUGUGUCUGCCAAUAAGAGUCAGUUUUAAACACCUGUAGACAGGCUACAAUACAAAAUGAAGGUUAUGAUGUUUUCUUGUGUGAUUUGAACAGAUCUGACUUGCUUUCUGUUUGACCAUGGCCAAAAUACAGAUUAAAAGAUAGCAACUGGACUUGCAAUAAUAUGCUAAAUAAU